GGGGAUACUCAUAUAAGACGAGAAGACCCCNUGGAGCUUCAAACCCAACUACACCCCUAGCUCUUAUAGCCCCACAACCCCCCUAGGCGCCGUGUGCUUGGUUUUAGGUUGGGGCGACCGCGGAGUACAAUAAAACCUCCACAAUGAAUGGGAACACCCCCUUAUCUGAGGGCCACACCCCCUAAGAAUUAGAACACUAACAUAAAAUGAUCCAUUACUUGAUCAAUGAACCAAGUUACCCUGGGGAUAACAGCGCAAUCCAUUUCAAGAGCCCCUAUCGACAAAUGGGUUUACGACCUCNAUGUUGGAUCAGGGUACCCCAGUGGUGCAGCAGCUACUAACGGUUCGUUUGUUCAACGAUUAAAACCCU
rnacentral:rRNA from 1 species